GGAGAGGCCAUGAGCCCAACAGGGAAAUCCAGCCCAGGAACUGCAGCCCCCACAGAAGAGAGGAAACUCCGCCCCUGGCUGACCUUCUGGGUCACUCUUGUUUGUGCUCUUGUCCUCAAGACCUGUGUCAUCUAUGGCUGCAUGGUCACUCUCCUCAUGGGAAAUCCAAGCUGUGAAGUGCGCAAGGCCCUGCCCCAGGAUUCCACAGAGUGGCA
rnacentral:lncRNA from 1 species